rnacentral:rRNA from 1 species
GAUUCCUGGCUCAGGACGAACGCUGGCGGCAGGCUUAACACAUGCAAGUCGAACGAUCCUUCGGGAUAGUGGCAGACGGGUGCGUAACACGUGGGAACCUACCCUAAGGUACGGAAUAACUCAGGGAAACUUGUGCUAAUACCGUAUAUGUCUUCGGAUGAAAGAUUUAUCGCCUUAGGAUGGGCCCGCGGCUGAUUAGGUAGUUGGUGAGGUAAAAGCUCACCAAGCCGACGAUCAGUAGCUGGUCUGAGAGGAUGAUCAGCCACACUGGGACUGAGACACGGCCCAGACUCCUACGGGAGGCAGCAGUGAGGAAUAUUGGACAAUGGGGGCAACCCUGAUCCAGCCAUGCCGCGUGAGUGAUGAAGGCCUUAGGGUUGUAAAACUCUUUCACCGGCGAAGAUAAUGACGGUAACCGGAGAAGAAGCCCCGGCUAAUUUCGUGCCAGCAGCCGCGGUAAUACGAAAGGGGCUAGCGUUGUUCGGAAUUACUGGGCGUAAAGCGCGCGUAGGCGGAUUGCCAAGUUGGGGGUGAAAUCCCGGGGCUCAACCCCGGAACUGCCUCCAAAACUGGUAGUCUAGAGGAUGUGAGAGGAUAGUGGGAAUUCCGAGUGUAGAGGUGAAAUU